rnacentral:tRNA from 1 species
GUAUUUGACGGUUCAGUGGUAGAAUUCUUGCCUUCCAUGUAAGAGACUCAGGUUCAAUCCCUGGCCAAUGCA